rnacentral:misc_RNA from 1 species
GAUGAAGAACGUAGCGAAAUGCGAUAAGUAAUGUGAAUUGCAGAAUUCGGUGAAUCAUCGAAUCUUUGAACGCACAUUGCGCCCGCCAGUAUUCUGGCGGGCAUGCCUGUUCGAGCGUCAUUUCAACCAUCAAGCCCCAGGCUUGUGUUGGGGACCUGCGGCUGCCGCAGGCCCUGAAAACCAGUGGCGGGCUCGCUGUCACACCGGGCGUAGUAGAUUUUAUCUCGCUCAGGGCGUGCUGCGGGUUCCGGCCGUUAAAAAGCCUUUUUUACCCAAGGUUGACCUCGGAUCAGGUAGGAAUACCCGCUGAACUUAAGCAUAUCAAUAAGCGGAGGA